rnacentral:rRNA from 1 species
GACGAACGCUGGCGGCGUGCUUAACACAUGCAAGUCGAACGCUGAAGCUCAGCUUUUGUUGGGUGGAUGAGUGGCGAACGGGUGAGUAACACGUGAGUAACCUGCCUCCUUCUUUGGGAUAACGCCCGGAAACGGGUGCUAAUACUGGAUAUUCACUGGUCUUCGCAUGGGGGUUGGUGGAAAGGGCUUUUCUGGUGGGGGAUGGGCUCGCGGCCUAUCAGCUUGUUGGUGGGGUGAUGGCCUACCAAGGCGUUGACGGGUAGCCGGCCUGAGAGGGUGACCGGUCACAUUGGGACUGAGAUACGGCCCAGACUCCUACGGGAGGCAGCAGUGGGGAAUAUUGCACAAUGGGCGCAAGCCUGAUGCAGCGACGCCGCGUGAGGGAUGGAGGCCUUCGGGUUGUGAACCUCUUUCGCUCAUGGUCAAGCCGCAACAAUGGUUGUGGUGAGGGUAGUGGGUAAAGAAGCGCCGGCUAACUACGUG